rnacentral:rRNA from 1 species
UUUGAUCAUGGCUCAAAUUGAACGCUGGCGGAAUGCUUUACACUUGCAAGUCAAACGGCAGCACGGGUGCUUGCACCUGGUGGCGAGUGGCGAACGGGUGAGGAAUAUAUCGAAACGUAUCCAAUAAUGGGGGAUAACUAGCCAAAAGGUUAGCUAAUACCGCAUACCCCCUACGGGGGAAAGCAGGGGAUCUUCGGACCUUGCGUUAAUGGAGCGGCCGAUAUCUGAUUAGCUAGUUGGUGAGGUAAAGGCUCACCAAGGCGACAAUCAGUAGCUGGUCUGAGAGGACAACCAGCCACACUGGAACUGAGACACGGUCCAAACUCCUACGGGAGGCAGCAGUGGGGAAUUUUGGACAAUGGGGGCAACCCUGAUCCAGCCAUUCCGCGUGAGUGAAGAAGGCCUUCGGGUUGUAAAGCUCUUUCGCAAGGGAAGAAACGAUACAGUCUAAUAAACUGUGUUAAUGACGGUACCUUGAUAAGAAGCACCGGCUAACUACGUG